AGGUCGUUUUGGGGGCAAUUCCUAAGUAGACUCUUAUAGCGUUCCCAUGCUUUAUAUAGCAACUCUCCUAUUUGUUGUUCAAAAUUGGCAAUGGCCUUUUUGAGCUU